rnacentral:ncRNA from 1 species
UGUCUGUUCUUAGUUGGUGGAGCGACUUGUCUGGUUAAUUCUGAUAAACAAAGAGACUCUAGCCUAUUAAAUAGCUGCGUGGUUUUCUGCACCUUGCACCCUUCUUAGAGGGACAAGGGGCUCCUAGCCGCACGAAACAGAGCAGUAAGAGGUCUGUGAAACCCUUAGAUGUCCGGGGCCGCACGCGCACUACACUGAGGAAGAAGUGUGUUUUCUAUCCCUGUCUGUUAAGACAGUAAGCUUACAAAGAAGUGGCUUGGGCAAGUACAGAGG